UUUUAUUUGAGAGUUUGAUCCUGGCUCAGGAUGAACGCUGGCGGCGUGCCUAACACAUGCAAGUUGAGCGAUUUACUUCGGUAAAGAGCGGCGGACGGGUGAGUAACGCGUGGGUAACCUACCCUGUACACACGGAUAACAUACCGAAAGGUAUGCUAAUACGGGAUAAUAUAUUUGAGAGGCAUCUCUUGAAUAUCAAAGGUGAGCCAGUACAGGAUGGACCCGCGUCUGAUUAGCUAGUUGGUAAGGUAACGGCUUACCAAGGCGACGAUCAGUAGCCGACCUGAGAGGGUGAUCGGCCACAUUGGAACUGAGACACGGUCCAAACUCCUACGGGAGGCAGCCGUGGGGAAUAUUGCACAAUGGGCGAAAGCCUGAUGCAGCAACGCCGCGUGAGUGAUGAAGGCCUUCGGGUCGUAAAACUCUGUCCUCAAGGAAGAUAAUGACGGUACUUGAGGAGGAAGCCCCGGCUAACUACGUGCCAGCAGCCGCGGUAAUACGUAGGGGGCUAGCGUUAUCCG
rnacentral:rRNA from 1 species